GUUUAAAUAUAAUUACUAGACGGAAAGCAGCACGCGCGGAAACCAUUACACGAAUGGGAUUAGGCUCCGCCUCUUUUGGAUCAUUUGAAGACAAAAUAAGCACCCGAGGCGGCUUUUUGAUUGGAUAAGUGCCUCAUGAAUAUGUAUUUUAUCGAUAGUAUCGUUUAAGAAACCGGAUAAUAUAUUUGACCUCAUUGCGUCACUUUAAUUAUGCAGAUUUAUGCACGACGCUACUACACUCGCACAAACUGAGAAGAGUUAGUUCAUUGAGAAUGGAUUGAAACUGAUGAAGAGCUGGAAGGAGUUAACUGAUGAGUAGACAUUACAACAUUUCUUAUAUUUGCAAGAUGAAGCUGAAAGUCCCAUGCAGGAUGAUGCUUCUCUACAGUGGAUGAUGAAGGCAUGCUGAUUACAAACCCAGGAGAGGAACAAAGAACAGAUAUUGACAGAAUCACUAUAUCUAGAGAUGCGGGCCUACUACACUUCAUACGAGCAAGUGUGCUAAUAUACAAUACUUGGGUUAUCAUCUCAGCCUUUUCUUCUGAAAACUAGCCUACAUCUUCAUCGAUGAAUGCAUAAGACAUCUACAUGUACAUGGGACUACGUCUUAAAGAUGCCACCCUCAUAUAAUGAAAGAGGACAGUAGA